CUGGAUAAAAUGAGACAGCCAGCCUCAGUCUUGAGGAGGACCGUUAAAGGACAGGGACAUAAAGGCAGCAGCAAAUCAGAUGGUCAAGUCUGUCUGAUGCUGGCAGCCUGUCAUCUCCCAAUCUGUCCCUGGCCCACUGUGAGUCCAGCCAGAGAAGCCAAGCCUACCAGGCUGUGAGUCCCAUGAAGGGAUUGUUUUGAAAAUUAGGAACCCUAAGAUCUUAGGAAACUGAAAAAAACAAAGUAUUAGUUCUUCAGUUGUGUCCGACUGUUUGUGACCCCAUGGCCUGUAGACCACCUGGCUCAUCUGAACAUAGAAUUUUACAGGCAGGAAUACUAGAGUGGGUUGCCAUUCCCUUCUCCAGGGAAUCUUCCCAACCCAGGGAUUGAACCUGGGUCUCCUGCACUGAAGGCAGAUGCUUUAGCAUCUGAGCCACCAGGGAAGAUCUUAGGAAGCUCAUGCCUAUCCCUCCCCAUGUGGGGGUAGUUUUCUUUUCACCUUUUGGAGUGAGCACUCCACACACACAUACACAGGUGCACAGUGUAUAUAAUAAAGACUAUGAGGUGGGAUCAGAAGAGGGACAGAUAUGAGGAGGGUAAUAAGAAGAAUACACAGGGGCUGGAGGCACUGCCUGCCUGAGACACAGACUCCCACAUUUUCCAGGUCUUGUCCUACUUCUAGGGAUGUAGAAGUCCAUGCGGGCAUCAUCCCUGGUGUGCAGGUGGGGACACGGACAGGCCUUGAGAGACACAAGGACUCAUCCAGGAUGGAGAACAGGCACUUGUUCACAGGGCUCCUCAUGGGACUGCAGACAGGAGCCAGUCCACAGAGCACCCUGCUCCAUCUCCCUGCACGAGGGGCUGGAGCCCCACACGAGCAACAGAGCCCAGGGCGGGCACAGGGUGAGUGCUAGCCAGGAGGCGAUCCUACACCCAGGAAGUUCCAGGUCCCAGAGCCACCCUGGCCC
ensembl:lncRNA